AGAGUUUGAUCCUGGCUCAGAACAAACGCUAGCGGCGCGUUUCAAGCAUGCAAGUCGAACGAGAAGCAGUCUUCGGACUGCGGACAGUGGCGAACGGGUGAGUGAAACAUAGGCAAUCUACCAUCGGGCUGGGGAUAGCCCGUGGAAACACGGGGUAAUACCGAAUACGCUCUUUUUCCGGGAGGAAAAAGAGGAAAGGCGCUACGGCGCUGACCGAUGAGGAGCCUGUGACCCAUUAGCUAGUUGGGGGAGUAACAGCCCCCCAAGGCAACGAUGGGGAGCCGGCCUGAGAGGGUGAACGGCCACACUGGGACUGAGAUACGGCCCAGACUCCUACGGGAGGCAGCAGCUAAGAAUCUUCCGCAAUGGGCGAAAGCCUGACGGAGCGACGCCGCGUGUGCGAAGAAGGCCGAAAGGUUGUAAAGCACUUUUCUCGAUGAGGAAUAAGCGGAGGAGGGAAUGCCUCUGUGAUGACGGUAAUCGAGGAAUAAGCCCUGGCAAAAUACGUGCCAGCAGCCGCGGUAAUACGUAUGGGGCGAGCGUUGUUCGGAAUUAUUGGGCGUAAAGGGCACGUAGGCGGACGUUCAAGCCUGACGAGAAAUCAUGUGGCUCAACCACAUGCAUGCGUUGGGAACUGGACGACUUGAGUCGUGGAGGGGGAGUUGGAAUUCCCGGUGGAGGGGUGAAAUCUGUAGAUAUCGGGAAGAACACCAGAGGCGAAGGCGAACUCCUGGCCAUAGACUGACGCUGAGGGGCGAAAGCGUGGGGAGCGAACAGGAUUAGAUACCCUGGUAGUCCACGCCGUAAACGAUGUACACCAGGUGUUGGGUGGCGACACUCAGUACCGCAGUUAACGCGAUAAGUGUACCGCCUGGGGAGUAUGCUCGCAAGAGUAAAACUCAAAGGAAUUGACGGGGGCCCGCACAAGCGGUGGAGCAUGUGGUUUAAUUCGAUUAUACGCGAGAAACCUUACCAAGACUUGACAUCUGGGGGAAGCUCUCGGAGACGAGGGUGCUUUUCGGAGCCGCCAGACAGGUACUGCAUGGCUGUCGUCAGCUCGUGCCGUGAGGUGUUGGGUUAAGUCCCGCAACGAGCGCAACCCUUAUCAUCUGUUGCCAGCAUUUCGGAUGGGAACUCAGAUGAGACUGCCGGUGACAAACCGGAGGAAGGUGGGGAUGAGGUCAAGUCAUCAUGGUCCUUAUGUCUUGGGCUACACACGUGCUACAAUGGUCGAUACAGAGCGCAGCAAACCUGUGAAGGUAAGCGAAUCGCAAAAAGUCGAUCUCAGUUCGGAUUGGAGUCUGAAACUCGACUCCAUGAAGUUGGAAUCGCUAGUAAUCGCACAUCAGCAUGGUGCGGUGAAUACGUUCUCGGGCCUUGUACACACCGCCCGUCACACCACCCGAGUUGGGAAUACCCGAAGUCGUUAGUCCAACUGCAAAGAGGACGAUGCCGAAGGUAUCCCCGGUAAGGGGGGUGAAGUCGUAACAAGGUAGCCGUACUGGAAAGUGUGGCUG
rnacentral:rRNA from 1 species